ACAAACAGCCCUGAACCAGCUUCAGAACCCAGGACCAACACAAAGCUAAGUAAGGAAAGCACCUGCCACAGAAGCAACAGAAAAUGCAAUUUGGGACCAGAUGAGGGCAAUCUGUCUGGGACAGGUGUCUAUUUCAAAAGAACUUACUGGCCUACUUGUUUAUUGGGUGGACUGUGUAGGCAGGGAGUGGGCAGCCAGCACUGGCUGUAAUGCUCCUGGGGCAGAAGGUCAAAUCAUUGCAGUGGUUUGAAUAUGGCCCAGCACUCUAAACUUGGAGUGAAGGCUGUGAAAUGGAGUCCUUGUGACUUACAUGGCCAGAAGAACGAGGGUACCCUUUCCUGCUUAAAACUUUCCUUUUCCAAACGGUAAAUCAGUAUUUGGAAUUUGCUGCAACCUGCGCAGGGAUCCCAUUUAGGAAGCAGGUCUGCGGUGACACCGACUUAACCUGACCAAUCUGUUACCGCUCUUCAUGGUCACUGCAUUCUACUUUCAACACCCCUCCAGAUCUACAAGGACCUGCCUGUGUUUGCAGAAAGAUGCCCCUCUUCUUGCCUAAUCCAUUCCCCUGACCCCUUCAAAGCGAGAGCUACAGGUUAGCUUCUUCUCACCAAACCUUUCCUGUUGCACACAGCUCAUUUUCACAAAGACCCUUCAGAGACCUGUGAUUUGGCUGACAUGGCAAUUUUUCUCAUUAAUGUGUAUUUUGUUGUGUAAAGUCCUUAAAUUGCUGUUAUGUGUUUUAAAUGCAUCGCCCCCAAAGAGGGAAACAUGUUUCAAAGAUACUUUCCGUGACUCUGUACUUUAACACAAUACAUAGCACGUAGCUUUGCAUUCGUUGAACACCCAACACCGGGUGUUGUGGAUUCGGUCCUCCAGGCACUUCUCAGGGACGUUGGUCUCUUUAACUCUCAGCAGCUGUGAUUAUUCAGACCAGCAUAAGACUGGGCCCUUUAACUCUGAUGCUCUGAGGUGGUGGAGUUUAUGAGGCCCCGCCCCUUAUAAAGCCCCACCCCUUAUGAAGCCCCACCCCUUUGAGGAUUUAUAGAUGUUUCCAGAGCCAGACACCUUUCCCUGGUGAAGCUGCUUUGCCCGUUGAUCGAACGCCUGCCAUGGUUUCUGGCCACCCGUCCUCAGGAUGUCGGGCACACGUGUCUCCCUCAAGCUCUCUGCUGUAGAUGGAGUAGAACUGUGUUACACCAGAAAACAACAGGGACCUAUGGAAACAGAGGUAAGAGGAAUACAAAGAAGGAACGAAGAUGCCAGCAAAAUGGCUACAAACGUUGAGAUGAAUGUGCACCAAGGGACUGCAAAGGUAACAGAUCCCUCUGAAGGUGCCCUGGGCAUUUGCUCUGACUCAAUCAUGGAUAAGAACGUUUGGCCUGUCUCGAUGAUGGUAUUUAAUGCCUUGAAUUUCCCUGACUCAGUAACCCUUUGACGUAUGUGGAAAACAAGGCAAACAUGAAAUGAGGCAACAUUCCAGUUGUUCAGGAAGUGCCUGCCUUUGAAGAGAACCAGGAAGUCACACCCUCAACGCCCCUCAGUUUUUCAGGUACGAAAACAGACUUCUUGAAGGAAAAGGAGGACCAGGACUGCAGCAGGAGCAUCUUCUAAUGUCUGGGCUUCUGCUCUGUUCCUCAGUUGUGGUCACAGUCACUUGGGUGGCACUCGGUACCUGAAAAAUGCCGUUGUUACAAUGAAGUCAUCUCUGUAUCAAAUUUAGAUGAUAUAAACAUUGCUCUAAGGGUUUAAGAAGACACUUGGAUUUUUGCUUAAUUUUUUUUAUUUCACCUCUAGCAAUACAGGUAAAAUUCUUAACGGGUUAUUUUCAGAAUAACAUAUUUCUCUCUUAGCGUCUCACAGUGCAAAUGCAGAUGGUUCACUGUUUCUGGAGAUGGUGGAAAGAAACCUGGCUGCUAGGUUCUGCCUCUAGCUUUGUUAAGUCUCCCCUCCCCCCAUCGAUAACCUUGAGUUGUUGUGAGGAGACAUCUAGGAGAGGCUAAAGGCUAGCAGGUGACUUUCCUGAAAUGGUCCACCAAAUGCAUGGACGACAAUGGAAGAGCUCUGGGAGGCAAGGCUCGAGAAGACUUCAUCUCAGGAUUGAUUCUUGCACCUACUAUGCCUUUCCUAUCAUUGUUAAAUUAGUAUAAUAAUCCCUGGGCAUUAGCCCACCCAAUUGGGAAGAUUUUCUUCAGAUCCACAAAGAUGUACUCUUUUGUGCAUCUAUGUAGACAAAUAGAUGAUUUCUUCAUUCCUGAUAAUGAUUCUAUAGAAUUCCUAGAUUUUACACAUGUAAUUUUAUGCCCUCUGUAAUUUGAAAACCGCAGUUAGGAUUCUGUUAUCCUUCAUGUAUCACAGGCUGUUUACACUAAGGCAGGCACAAAAGGGAUUUACAAAUAAGGAAAACAUUCCUUUAGGCUGUAAAACCAUUAUCUGAUAACUAAAGGUCAUAAAAGGGGAUGAACAGUUUAUUCUAUGUGCAAGGACAGAAGAUAAAAUAGUAAAUGGAUUUAUCUACACAAAAUUUCAAUACUAGUGAGAUAGUAGGCAGAUGAUGGGCCUCUUGACCUAUAGUGUUAACUUAGACAUAAGAAUUAUAGCUUUUAACUUUUAAUGAACCUGUGGGGGCUAGUGAUAGAUAAUGAAUACUUAGAUAACUGUUCUUAAUGGAAACGUAUGUAAACAUCUUUGUUGUUUCUUCUUAUUUAAUGCAUGAUUUGAAUUUAUGUUUGAACUUGUGAACUUUUGAAAAAAGGAUGCCUGGAAUACCAUGUGAUGUAUCCUGAAAAAGUAUAAGUAUUGAGAACAAAGACAACAGUCAGACAGGUUUUGUUUUUCUUACAAUCAAGUUUUUCUUAAGAUCAAUACAAAGUUAGUUCCCCCAUUUCUUUCUCUUAGAAAUAAAGAUGAGAGUCUCUUCUCAAA